rnacentral:rRNA from 1 species
GAUGAACGCUGGCGGCGUGCCUAAUACAUGCAAGUCGAGCGAAUGGAUUAAGAGCUUGCUCUUAUGAAGUUAGCGGCGGACGGGUGAGUAACACGUGGGUAACCUGCCCAUAAGACUGGGAUAACUCCGGGAAACCGGGGCUAAUACCGAUAACAUUUUGAACCGCAUGGUUCGAAAUUGAAAGGCGGCUUCGGCUGUCACUUAUGGAUGGACCCGCGUCGCAUUAGCUCGUUGGUGAGGUAACGGCUCACCAAGGCAACGAUGCGUAGCCGACCUGAGAGGGUGAUCGGCCACACUGGGACUGAGACACGGCCCAGACUCCUACGGGAGGCAGCAGUAGGGAAUCUUCCGCAAUGGACGAAAGUCUGACGGAGCAACGCCGCGUGAGUGAUGAAGGCUUUCGGGUCGUAAAACUCUGUUGUUAGGGAAGAACAAGUGCUAGUUGAAUAAGCUGGCACCUUGACGGUACCUAACCAGAAAGCCACGGCUAACUACGUGCCAGCCGCCGCUGUAA